UCCUCGUUAGUAUAGUGGUGAGUAUACCCGCCUGUCACGCGGGAGACCGGGGUUUGAUUCCCCGACGGGGGCUACAA